rnacentral:misc_RNA from 1 species
CAGUAUAAUAUUGGUUUUGUAUCUGAUGAAGCUUGGCUAGCUUUCAUUUUUGCUAAGUUUUCUUUUAAUUAGCCAUCUUUGCAGUCUUUGUUCAGGUGAAGGUUAAAAAGUAGGAAGCUGAAAUGAUAGCAGUGCAUGAUGUAAUGCCAGUAGAUUUAAGAUAGUCAUGAGUUUGCUACACCUUGGAGAUUUUUUAUGCAUUCAAUUUUGUUAUGGUCUUUUAGAUUUAGCAGUAAAUUAUUAUUGUUAACUUUGGUAAAUAAAGUACUUAUAUGAUAGGUUUCCAUUGGUGCUGUUUUCUGGCUGUGACCAAGUUUUUUUUCCCCUUUUUUACUGAUGUCGAGGCCUGACAGAUCCUUUUACUGUUGAUCCACACAGCUAUCGAUGCCAUUUAGGAUCCUGGUGACAAUAUAUCCGCAGCGUGGAGUCGUGUUGGAGAUACUGGUCUACAAUAUUUGGCCGGCAGUGUUUAGAUGAUGGUUUCUCCAGUGUUGAGAGAGAUGGGAAUCGGAAAUUGUCAGGAUGAGAGUGAUUGUUUUCCAAUGGCUGUAAGCAUGAAAUCACCUGGCCUUGUGUGGAAGACAUCUAUGAAUCGAUCAACCAGAUGUAUACCUCUAAUUUAGAUUACCGAGGUUAUGACUGUCGGAACAACUUGUUUUACAUGCAGUCCGGUGAGAUUGUGUACCAUGUUGCUGCAGUAGGCAUAUUGUACAGUAGGGAGAAAAAUACUCAACGAUUUUAUCUCGAACAUACAGACGAUAUACUCUAUCUCUCUAUACAUCCUCUCAAAGAUGUUAUAGCUACUGGACAGGUGAUGGAAAGAAGCUUGUAUCUGUUGGCCUUGAUGACAACCAUUCCAUUGUGGUGUGGGAUUGGAGAAAGGGAGAGAAACUAGCCACUACUAGAUAUGAUUUUUAACAUAUAAUGUUAUAUUCCGGGGGUCACAAAGAUAAGAUAUUUGUUGUGAAAUGGAAUCCUUUUGAUACUAACAAGCUUAUCACAGUCGGUGUGAAACAUAUCAAAUUCUGGACGCAGGCAGGUGGAGGUUUUACAUCCAGCCGAGGAACUUUUGGAAAGAUCGCCAAGAACUGUGAUAUGUUGUGUAUAGCUUUUGGAAAAACUGAAGACGUAACAUAUUCUGGUGGCAGUGAUGGUAACAUGUUUGUCUGGGCUGGAACUAAUUUACAGAAAAUUGUCAAAGCUCACGAGGGACCAUUGUUUGUUAUGCACUCACUUGAUAAGGGUUUUGUGACGGGUGGAAAGGAUGGUGUUAUUGGUCUAUGGGAUGACCAGUUUGAGAGAUGCCUGAAGAAUUACCACAUAAAACAAGAGAACCUGUCUCCACAGUCACGAGGUCGACUCCUCACGGACUCACCAGCCGUACGUGCCAGUGUUGGGACAUGGGAAGAUAUUAGUGGGAACUAGAAAUGGAGAAAUUUUAGAAGUGGAUAAAGCUGGACCGAUUACACUUAUUACACAAGGUCAUUUAGAAGGAGAAGUAUGGGGUUUGUCCGUUCACCCGAUCAAAGAUUUCUGUGUGACAACCAGCGAUGGAUGAUAAAACACGAGUUUGGGAUAUCUCAGACAGCCACAAGAUGGUGAACUUUCAAAUACUCAAACAGGGAGCUAGAUGUGUAGAUUUCUCACCUGAUGGGAAAUUCCUGGCUGUCAGUCUUAGAGAUGGGAGUUUUACAGUGUUGAAUUCAGACACAAUGGAAGAAAUUAUCUCCUUACAUCACAGGAAAGAGGAAAUUGCUGACAUUAAAUUUUCUCCAGGCAAAGCAUUAAUGUUGAAUUCUGGAGCCAAGGAGCAGCUGUUCUUUGAAACACCAAGAGGGAGAAGGAUUACUUUGAGGAAUCAGGAAAUUGAGAAGUUUGCUUGGCAUUCCUGGAUGUCGGUUCCGGGCGUGACAUGUGAGGGUCUGUGGCCACCAAAAUAUGAUGUAACAGACAUAAACGCUACUUGUGCCUCAAGUGAUAUGUCAGUGAUUGCUACAGGUAAUGAUUUUGGAUUUAUGGAACUCUUUAAUUACCCAGCUAAGGUGAGAUUAUAAAACUACUUUGUUCACUGAUGAGGUAAAAAAAUUCAUAGGAGUUAACCUGUGAAAAUAGUUGAAAAUGGGAGUCCAUUUUUCACUAAGGCAAUAGAAAAUUAGUUUUUAGAUUCUCAUCCCCGCCCUAUCGGAAACCCCCUGCCUCGAAAUUUUUUAUAAGUCAAAAUCCGGAUAUCCAAAAUUUUAUGUCCGGAUACUGGUACACUUGCAUAAACAUUGCAUAAUUCUCUAGUUUAAAGAAAAUGUCUGACAUAUUGUGGUGAUGCAAAGACAAUUUAACAGCAUUUGACAGUAUCUGAUAUUAAAAUUUACCAUGACAUUACCUCUUAUUAUAAUAAAUUAAGAGAAAUGAUCGUAAAAUAUCGGUGAUUCA